GCCAUGAUACCGCCAGCUAAUAGCUAAUUGUAGAUUAUAGCAAAAUGAAUUCUAUUAAAAUAUCUUUAAAUGAAAAGAAGAAAAAAUGUUUAAAAUCGAUCUUAAAGUAGAAAUAAUUCAAGAUAAAAUAUAUGUAUAAUGGAAAAUAUAUUGCGUCAGUAGUCUAAAGGCUUAGGACGCUCGCAAUGCCAGAGAUCCGGGUUCGACUUCCGAGAUGACCCUAAAGAGAACUGGAAAGAAGCAGAAAUAUAACUUUUACUUGAACAACGUCUUAAUAUGAAUUUGAAAAUCCAAGUAGUCAGAAAACAUCUUAUUGGAAUUUAAUUGUUAAAGCUUUUGAAGAGAAAAGUUAUAAAGUAAAAGUGCAAGAUUUGAUAAACAAGUGGAAGUUACUUACAAUCGAAAUACAACUAAAUUAAAAAAAAAGAAAAAAAGAGUGUGAAUCCUCCUGAAACAUCACUGAGUUCAACAUUCAAACCGGAAAUACUUACUGAGGAUGAAUCACCUGAUAACAUAUAUAAGGAAAAUGCAGGUGCUAUAGAAAACAUUCCACAAAAAAGAAAAAUGAAAUUGUCAAAGAAAGAGAAAAAAAAACUUCGAUUUUAAGAAGAAA